AACGAACGCUGGCGGCAUGCCUAACACAUGCAAGUCGAACGAGACCUUCGGGUCUAGUGGCGCACGGGUGCGUAACGCGUGGGAACCUGCCCUUAGGUUCGGAAUAACUCCCCGAAAGGGGUGCUAAUACCGGAUAAUGUCUUCGGACCAAAGAUUUAUCGCCUUUGGAUGGGCCCGCGUUGGAUUAGCUAGUUGGUAGGGUAAAAGCCUACCAAGGCGACGAUCCAUAGCUGGUCUGAGAGGAUGAUCAGCCACACUGGGACUGAGACACGGCCCAGACUCCUACGGGAGGCAGCAGUGGGGAAUAUUGGACAAUGGGCGAAAGCCUGAUCCAGCAAUGCCGGGUGAGUGAUGAAGGCCUUAGGGUUGUAAAGCUCUUUUCCCCGGGAUGAUAAUGACAGUACCGGGAGAAUAAACCCCGGCUAACUCCGU
rnacentral:rRNA from 1 species